GUUUGGUCUGAGUGCAGUGGCGUUUACUAUUAAUUGAUCACAACCAGUCACAGAUUCCUUUGUUCCUUCUACACCCCUACUGCUUCACCUGACCAAUAAA
rnacentral:Y_RNA from 1 species